GACGAACGCUGGCGGCGUGCUUAACACAUGCAAGUCGAACGGAAACGCCCUGCUUUUGUGCGGUUCUCGAGUGGCGAACGGGGGAGUAACACGUGAGUAACCUGCCCUUGACUUUGGGAUAACUUCAGGAAACUGGGGUUACUACCGGAUCGGAUCCCCUGCUGCAUGGAGGGGGUUGGAACGUUGCGGCGGUUGGGGAUGGACUCGCGGCUUAUCAGCUUGUUGGUGGGGUAGUGGCUUACCAAGGCGUUGACGGGUAGUCGGCCUGAGAGGGUGACCGGCGACAUUGGGACUGAGAUACGGCGCAGUCUCCUACGGGAGGCAACAGUGGGGAAUAUUGCACAAUGGGCGCAAGCCUGAUGCAGCAACGCCGCGGGUGGGAUGACGGCCUUCGGGUUGUAAACCGCUUUCGCCUGUGACGAAGCGUGAGUGACGGUACUGGGUAAAGAAGCACCGGCUAACUACGUG
rnacentral:rRNA from 1 species